CCUACGGGUGGCAGCAGUGGGGAAUAUUGCACAAUGGGGGAAACCCUGAUGCAGCAACGCCGCGUGAGUGAAGAAGUAUUUCGGUAUGUAAAGCUCUAUCAGCCGGGAAGAGAAUGACGGUACCUGACUACGAAGCCCCGGCUAACUACGUGCCAGCAGCCGCGGUAAUACGUUGGGGGCGCGCGUUAUCCGGAUUUACUGGGGGUAAAGGGAGCGUAGACGGUUCUGCAAGUCUGAAGUGAAAGCCCGUGGCUGAACCGCGGAACGGCUUUGGAAACUGUGGAACUGGAGUGCGAGAGAGGCAAGCGGAAUGCCUAGUGUAGCGGUGAAAUGCGUAGAUAGUAGGAAGAACACCAGUGGCGAAGGCGGCUUGCGGGACAGUAACUGACGUUGAGGCUCGAAAGCGUGGGGAGCAAACAGGAUUAGAUACCCCGGUAGUC
rnacentral:rRNA from 1 species